rnacentral:lncRNA from 10 species
GACAGGUCCGAGACUUGUGGGUUUAGUUACGUGAGGCCCUACUGUAUUACACUUCAGGGUUAUUUUGAGAUGGUCACGAGAGAGCACUUGAACCCUGAACAAAGAACCUCUCUUGCCUUAUCCUAUUACAGAUGACAGUGAAGUGUUUUAAGUGCCCGGAGUCUGAUGCAACUGCAAAACCCCAACCAAAAGGUUGCCAAACAUCCUUGUUAUGGGACUCAAGAAAAAGCCACGUAAAAGGAAAGAAAGCUUUCCUUUCCUCUCUGGCCUGUCAAAGGGCAUUCUCCCCGCACCCAGACUCCUAAAGAGGAAGGAUUCUUGCUUAUGGAAGGAAAGCUAGUUCUUGCCAAUGAAUAGGUGUUGGAUGCCUGCUAUUUAUCCAUGAUUGUGCUGGGUGAAAGAAAAACAAAAAUGAGUAGGGGUGAUAGUCUAGUUAGGGUCAUCAUAGAAAACCCAAUAGUUCCAGUACAGGGUGGUAGGUGCUCUGGAGGAAGAAUGUACCCAUGCAGAAUGGACAGUGAUUCCACAUUCUGUGGGAAGGAGAGAAGAGAAUGAUCAAGCAAGUUUUUCAGGUGAGGCUGGAGGGAUGUGGAGGAGAGAAAGCAGCCAGGGCAAAGGCAAGCAGGUGUGUAUGUCAUGGUGUGUGCAGGGACUGGUGAGAGGGCUGGUUUGGCCAGAGCAAAGGGUAGGGGCCUGGGUGACUAACAAAGAAGCUGAGCCAGUUCUGAGGGGACUCGUCUGCUCUACUAAGGACCAGGGGCUUCUAGGGUUUUUGUUUGUUUGUCACCAGGCUGAUAUAGUUUUCCUGCAUAGGUACACAGUGUCUGUGUGUUCCCUGCUCUUGGAUCUCUGACUUGAGUGAAUCUGCUCCAACUGCCUCAGCCAGCCCUGGCCUUGGUCUUUCUGGCAAGACAUCCUAGAAGACUGUAUUUUGCUAAGACUGCAACUGCCAGCCACAAGCUUGAUGAGCAGCCUAGGGAAUGUGGUACUAUUCUGGGAGGAGGGUGUGUGUGUGUGUGUGUGUGUGUGUGUGUGUGUGUGUGUGUGUGUGUAGGGAAUGUGGGGGAGACAUAAUAAACACUUGUAUAAAGCCUACCACAAAUCAUUACUUUUUAUUGUCAAAGAGUAGGCUAAACAAUUUUGUUUCUUGGAUUUGCUUUCAAUAUGAUAUAGUUACUUAAGCUAUUAUGUAAUUAAAUAAUUAACCACCUUUAAAGUAAAGUAUCAGGUGGGUGCACUGGAUCCCACCUGUAAUCCCAACCCUCUGGAAGGCAGAGGUGGGAGGAUUUUUUGAGGCCAGAAGUUCAAGACCAGCCUGGUCAACAUAGCGAGACCCUGUCUUGUUUAAAUAAAAAUUUUAAAAUAAAAAAAAAGAGCUUCUGCACAGCAAAAGAAACUAUCACCAGAGUGAACAGGCAACCUACAGAAUGGGAGAAAAAUUUUGCAAUCUACCCAACUGACAAAGGUCUAAUAUUCAGAAUUAACAAGGAUCUUAAAGAAAUUUACAAGAAAAAAACAAACAACCCAUCAAAAAGUGGGCAAAGGACAUGGACAGACACUUCUCAAAAUAAGACAUUUAUGUGGCCAACAAAUACAUGAAAAAAAGAUCAACAUCAUUAAUCAUUAGAGAAAUGCAAAUCAAAAUCACAAUGAGAUACCAUCUCACUCCAGUUAAAAUGGCAAUUAUUAAAAAGUCAAGAAACAACAGAUACUGGUGAGGCUUUGAGGAAAUAGGAAUGCUGUUACACUGUUGGUGGGAAUGCAAAUUAGUUCAACCACUGUGGAAGACAGUGUGGUGAUUCCUCAAGGAUCUGGAACCAGAAAUACCAUUUGACCCAGGAAUCCCAUUACUGAGUAUGUACCCAAAGAAAUAUAAAUCAUUCUAUUAUAAAGAUACAUGCACAUGUAUGUUUAUUGCAACACUAUUCACAAUAGCAAAGACAUGGAAUCAACCCAAAUGCCCAUCAAUUAUAGACUGGAUGAAGAAAAUGGGCCGGGCACGGUGGUUCACGCCUAUAAUCCUAACAUUUUGGGAGGCAGAGGCGGGUGGAUCACCUGAGGUCAGGAGAUCGAGACCAGCCUGGCCUACAUGGUGAAACCCCC